rnacentral:rRNA from 1 species
CUGGUUGAUCCUGCCAGACCCGACUGCUAUCGGAUUGGGACUAAGCCAUGCGAGUCAACUCCGCAAGGGGUGGCGCACGGCUCAGUAACACGUAGUCAACCUACCCUGGGGACGGGGAUAACCUCGGGAAACUGAGGCUAAACCCCGAUGGGCCAUGGCUCCUGGAAUGGGCUAUGGCUGAAAUCUACAUGGCCCCAGGAUGGGACUGCGGCCGAUCAGGUUGUUGGUGGGGUAAUGGCCCACCAAGCCUAUAACCGGUGCGGGCUCUGAGAGGGGGAGCCCGGAGAUGGGCACUGAGACAAGGGCCCAGGUCCUAUGGGGCGCAGCAGGCGCGAAACCUCCGCAAUGGGCGAAAGCCCGACGGGGUCAGUCCGAGUGGUUCCCGCUGAGGGAACCUUUUGCCAGCUGUAAACAGGCUGGCGAAUAAGGGGUGGGCAAGUUUGGUGUCAGCCGCCGCGGUAAUACCAGCACCCCGAGUGGUCGGGACGAUUAUUGGGCCUAAAGCAUCCGUAGCCGGCCCAGUAAGUCCUCCGUUAAAUCCAACGGCUCAACCGUUGGGCUGCGGGGGAUACUGCUGGGCUAGGGGACGGGAGAGGCGAGGGGUAUUCCCGGGGUAGGGGUAAAAUCCACUGAUCCCGGGAGGACCACCAGUGGCGAAGGCGCCUCGCUAGAACGUGCCCGACGGUGAGGGAUGAAAGCUGGGGGAGCGAACCGGAUUAGAUACCCGGGUAGUCCCAGCCGUAAACGAUGUAGGCUCGGUGUUGGGCUGCCUCAGUGGCAGCCCAGUGCCGCAGGGAAGCCGUUAAGCCUACCGCCUGGGGAGUACGGCCGCAAGGCUGAAACUUAAAGGAAUUGGCGGGGGAGCACCAC